UACGUAGGGUGCAAGCGUUUAAUCGGAAUUACUGGGCGUAAAGCGUGCGCAGGCGGUUGUGCAAGACAGAGGUGAAAUCCCCGGGCUUAACCUGGGAAUGGCCUUUGUGACUGCACGGCUAGAGUGUGUCAGAGGGGGGUAGAAUUCCACGUGUAGCAGUGAAAUGCGUAGAGAUGUGGAGGAAUACCGAUGGCGAAGGCAGCCCCCUGGGAUAACACUGACGCUCAUGCACGAAAGCGUGGGGGAGCAAA
rnacentral:rRNA from 1 species